rnacentral:tRNA from 1 species
GCGCCCGUAGCUCAGUUGGAUAGAGCGUCGGACUUCGAAUCCGAAGGUCGCAGGUUCGAUUCCUGCCGGGCGCACCA